rnacentral:rRNA from 1 species
AGCAGUCGCCGCGGUAAUACGUAGGGGGCGAGCGUUGUCCGGAAUUACUGGGCGUAAAGGGCACGCAGGCUGUGCUUCAAGUCAGCUGUAAAAGGAUGCGGCUUAACCGUGUUAUGCAGUUGAGACUGAGGUGCUGGAGUACCGGAGAGGCAAGUGGAAUUCCCAGUGUAGCGGUGAAAUGCGUAGAUAUUGGGAAGAACAUCGGUGGCGAAGGCGACUUGCUGGACGGUAACUGACGCUGAGGUGCGAAAGCCAGGGUAGCGAACGGGAUUAGAUACCCCCGUAGUCCCUGUCUCUUAUACA